AUUGAACGCUGGCGGCAGGCCUAACACAUGCAAGUCGAACGAGUGGCGGACGGGUGCGUAAUGUCUGGGAAACUGCCUGACGGCGGGGGAUAACUACUGGAAACGGUAGCUAAUACCGCAUACCAUCGGAUGUUCCCAGAUGGGAUUAGCUAGUAGGUGGGGUAACGGCUCACCUAGGCGACGAUCCCUAGCUGGUCUGAGAGGAUGACCAGCCACACUAGAACUGAGACACGGGCCAGACUCCUACGGGAGGCAGCAGUGGGGAAUAUUGCACAGUGGGCGCAAGCCUGAUGCAGACAUGCCGCGUAUAUGAAGAAGGCCUUCGGGUUGUAAAGUACUUUCAGCGGGGAGGCGUUACCCGCAGAAGAAGCACCGGCUAACUCCGUGCCAGCAACCGCGGUAAUAC
rnacentral:rRNA from 1 species